CCACAGGGUCACCAUGGUCCCCUGGUUACAAGAGGCACUGCAGUGUCACAAGUGCCCCUUGUUUCUGUGGAGUCCACAGGGUCAGUUUUGCCAAUGGGCAGAGUCACCACCAAGGACCAGGACCAGACACCAACGGAAGGAAUUGUGUAAUUUUUAUAAGGAGCACGCUCUGAUCCCAAGGAGUUAAAUUCUACAAUCAAGCAUGGUUCAACUUCCACAAUCUCAUCCAAAGCUGGCACCUCUGGUGAAUUCGUGAAAGGUCAUGAGGAGACCAUGAGGGACACAGACAUAUGAGCAACCAGAAAUAACAUUUUACAUGUGACUGAUGGACAAGUCUGAGAGGGAGGCUUCCUCUGAUGUGUGUCGAUAUGUGGUAUAUCACAGAACGGUAGAACUGCUGAGGCUGGAAGGGGCCUUCUGAUCAUCUAGUCCACAGCCCCAGCUCAACCAGAAGCAGCCAGAGCAGGCUGCCCAGGACUGUGUCCAGGUUGUUUUACACAUCAGUAAGAGCUUCCCUGAGCUUUCUAUCCUCCAGGCUGGACAGCCUCAGCUCUCCUGACCUUUCCUCACAUGAAACAAGCUCCAGUGCUUCUCUCUUCCCAGUGCAGCCCAGGAUGCUGGGCUGCCUUUGCUGCAAAGGCACACUGCUGGCUCAUGGUCACCUUCUUGUCCAUCAGGAUCCCAAACUGCCUCUCUCCCAAGACAUUCACACAGGACCAGAACAGACAGUCAUAGUCUUCUGCUUUGAAAACAUCUCUCUGGUGCACUUUGACAAGAUUCCACUCUCUCCUACACAACAAAAGAAGAUAAAUACCUGUGAACACCAGUCUUAUGCCUCCUAUGAAACACAACUCAUCUUCAGCCUUCUACAUCCGUCAUUUCAAACACAGAGAUGAAACUUUCAGUGGGCUAUCUCAACUCCUAGGUCUUUCCAAGGGAAAAGAGUAUCCUUGAAAAGGAAAAUAUUCUACAGAAUUUGUUACAUUGUGAAAAUUGUUUCCAAUCAAAGUUAAAGGCUUCUUCCAUGACUUGAAGACGUGGCCAAAGCACACUACAUCUUUCUCUGGAUCAACUCUGGAUCUUCUGGAUCAACUACACUAUCCCACUGUACAUGGUGGCAGAUGGAAGCCACAGAGUUCAUAACUAAGAGAGGGAAGAACACAUUCCCAAUGAUCCAGUAUGCCAGGAGCCAAAAUCAAAUUGAUCUUCCAAAUCACACAGUGAGAAGAUUGCACCCUCUCCUGGUGCAACCAGGAUCAAGAUUCCAAAGACAAGACCUGCAAUACAACAGAUGCAGUGACAAAGGGUGGCAGAAUUCCACCUCUUCUGUUGACAUCUCACUUAUGGAGUAUGAUUGUGAUCUCAAAACUUAGUCUUACCAGAAUGAAACAAAAGGCUCAGGUCACAAUAACUCACAAUUCUAUAGGAAUUUUCUCCAUGAAAAUAAAUGGAAAAAGCAUCAAUAAAAAUUUUGUCAUAUUGCA